AAAGUUUGAUAAACAUCCAGAGACAACACAUCUUGUGAUGAGCAGUAGCAGCAAUGGAGUACAUGGACGAGUAACAAGGAAGGAAGAGAAGCAAGCACUGUAGUAGACCAUGGCAUACAGACUGGUUUGAAGAAACAGACACUGAGACAAGUCAGUUUUUUCGGAGAUGGUGGCAGGAAGCAGAAGUGAAGGAGCAAGAAAAGUGAAACAGGGAAAGGAGGAAAGCCACACAUUGGAAGUCAAUGUCAAGGAGCAGAUCAUCACAGGAAGCAAGUGUGGCUCAGUCCUGCUGGGAUCCCCUGAGUAAUCAAAUAGAACAUUGUUCAGAACAGUCCCAGUUGGGUGUUUAUCCAUCAACCCACAUCCUUCCUUAAUUGAAGAUUACCCUUGGUUGCAGAGAUAAACAAGAGAACCCUCAAAAUUGAAGCAAACAGACCUCAGUGUGAAAGCAACUGGCUUGAAUGGGAACUGUCAGUUGUAGAUGCAGAUAGACUCAAAGGUAGGCCAGAGUGAUAUGUAACAUGGUAUUCAACAUCAUCUGCUUUACUUUCCUUGAAAAAAAAAAUAAAGAAAUCCAUAAAUGAAGCCACUUAUACAAAUACAUCGAAGC
rnacentral:lncRNA from 1 species